rnacentral:tRNA from 6 species
GUCCCCAUCGUCUAGAGGCCUAGGACACCGCCCUUUCACGGCGGCAACAGGGGUUCGAAUCCCCUUGGGGACGCCA